GGUAGUCCACGCCCUAAACGAUGCGAACUGGAUGUUGGGUGCAAUUUGGCACGCAGUAUCGAAGCUAACGCGUUAAGUUCGCCGCCUGGGGAGUACGGUCGCAAGACUGAAACUCAAAGGAAUUGACGGGGGCCCGCACAAGCGGUGGAGUAUGUGGUUUAAUUCGAUGCAACGCGAAGAACCUUACCUGGUCUUGACAUCCACGGAACCUUCCAGAGAUGGAUUGGUGCCUUCGGGAACCGUGAGACAGGUGCUGCAUGGCUGUCGUCAGCUCGUGUCGUGAGAUGUUGGGUUAAGUCCCGCAACGAGCGCAACCCUUGUCCUUAGUUGCCGGCACGUAAUGGUGGGAACUCUAAGGAGACCGCCGGUGACAAACCGGAGGAAGGUGGGGAUGACGUCAAGUCAUCAUGGCCCCUACGACCAGGGCUACACACGUACUACAAUGGUAGGGACAGAGGGCUGCAAACCCGCGAGGGUAAGCCAAUCCCAGAAACCCUAUCUCAGUCCGGAUUGGAGUCUGCAACUCAACUCCAUGAAGUCGGAAUCGCUAGUACUCGCAGAUCAGCAUUGCUGCGGUGAAUACGUUCCCGGGCCUUGUACACACCGCCCGUCACACCAUGGGAGUUUGUUGCACCAGAAGCAGGUAGCUUAACCUUCGGGAGGGCGCUUGCCACGGUGUGGCCGAUGACUGGGGUGAAGUCGUAACAAGGUAGCCGUAUCGGAAGGUGC
rnacentral:rRNA from 1 species